rnacentral:lncRNA from 12 species
UGCUGGUGCUUUCAGCCGUGCCUGGUGGCGUUGGCAACACAAAUAUGUGCAACCAAAACGUGCUGGUAUUGCUCCAUUCUUUCAAAUCACAUUUGCUGCCAUGACAUUCUUCUAUGUCAUCAACUACGGAAAAAUCAUUCACCACAGAAACUACAA